rnacentral:rRNA from 1 species
CGUAACAAGGUUUCCGUAGGUGAACCUGCGGAAGGAUCAUUCA